AAAAACUUUCAAACAUGUAAACACUUUAUAUUAAAAGCAUCAUGGCAUAUUCGGCAUGGUACAGAUGAAAUUUUAAGAAAUAUCUUAAUUGGGGACCUUUUUGGAACAAAGCUUUCAGAGGAUAUUUUCAUUGACGGCGGUUUGGACUUGUGUGCAAUAUCCUGAUCUGGUAUUCUAUAUUAAUCAACGAAUAUUGUUAUGUGUAACCGGGUACUUGUAAUUUUUAUCUCGUCAAACGUACAACCUGUUUUUUUUUUUAAUAUUAUGAGAAACAUCGCAGCGUUUCAACAUUUUGUGGGACAAAUAAUCACACAUUUGCCUACAAUUAAUCGUUUGUAACCGUUCCAUUUCACAUCGACCAUGAACAAUAUAGAAAUACAAUUAGUAACUGAAGUCAUCAACUGCUGAAUUGUAUUAAAAAUGAAAACAACAAUUUACAAAUUGCAUACGUCCGUAGAGCUUUCCAGGAUUUACCUUCACUUGGAAUUUCAAAGUCAAAUUUUAAAAAGCCAAGGAUGUAGAGGAACAGAAACAGUUGAAGAGCUAUAUGACCAAAAAGGACAUAAAAGUAAUAGUCAAAUCAAUGUAAGGUAAAUUUUGCCUGAGGGAGUUGAAACCUUAGUUUCUUAUCAAAUUCUAAAUUUAUAAGCAUCUAUUUAAGGUUUUAUGAAAUCUCUUUUCAAAUUAUUACCAAUAUCUUUAUCAAAAUCAAAACUGAGCUUCAGAGUAACUGUGAAACUACCUACUCUAAGGGUGUUGUGCAUCAGAUGUGGAUACUAAUCAAUUCCAAAAAUGUUUAAGAGUAUAUACAAUAUCAGUCUCUUUCCUCUUGGAAUAUUAGACAAACAUUUGACUUCUUCGCCCUUUACACUAUUUUUCCUCGUUCUAAAGUUAAAGAACUAGCCCAACCUUGUCUCAUAAAAAGAAUGAACAACGGAAAUAUCUUGGUUAAGGAUGGGUAAACUGCUCUUUGUAAAAAAUCUUCUCUGAAUCAAGUUAGAAAUUAUCUGAAACAUCAUCAAAAU